GACGAACGCUGGCGGCGUGCUUAACACAUGCAAGUCGAACGGAAAGGCCCUGCUUGCAGGGUACUCGAGUGGCGAACGGGUGAGUAACACGUGGGUGAUCUGCCCUGCACUUCGGGAUAAGCCUGGGAAACUGGGUCUAAUACCGGAUAGGAGCCACUUUUAGUGUGAUGGUUGGAAAGUUUUUUCGGUGUAGGAUGAGCUCGCGGCCUAUCAGCUUGUUGGUGGGGUAAUGGCCUACCAAGGCGGCGACGGGUAGCCGACCUGAGAGGGUGGACGGCCACAUUGGGACUGAGAUACGGCCCAGACUCCUACGGGAGGCAGCAGUGGGGAAUAUUGCACAAUGGGCGCAAGCCUGAUGCAGCGGCGCCGCGUGGGGGAUGACGGCCUUCGGGUUGUAAACUCCUUUCGCUAGGGACGAAGCUUUUGUGACGGUACCUAGAUAAGAAGCACCGGCUAACUACGUG
rnacentral:rRNA from 1 species